CUGUUGCUCUGGCCAGAACACCCUUUGCACACCCUCCCUUUCCUCACAUGAAGGCUAGGCCCUCCUUCACAGGCAGGGGUCAAGUGCGAUCCAUGCCACAUGCGUGACUUUCUGUAGGAUCACCAGAGGCUGAUGUCCAGUCCCUGGGCUGAUGAUGAGUCAAGGAAGGACGGUUUUCAGGGUGGCCCCAGCUGAUCUCCUCUCCCCUCUCUCUGCCUUCAGCUGCUUAUGACAUUCUCCAUUUUCAAGAGAGGGGGCUAGCCAUCGUUGUCUGUCAUCACAUUCCAGAUAAACCCACAUCCAUACCUUGGUUGCUGACUUUGGGGAGGUUGCUAAGGCUGGUUCCAGAUAACCUGCUGGCUCCUUGAGUUCUCACCUCUUCCUGGGCUCUUGAUCUUUGCUCAUUUCCCCCAAACCCUGGCUAUACUUCCUUCUCACUCUUAGGCUGUGUUCUCUUAUUUUGUUUUCUCUAUAAGGUGAAGCACAGUGGGAAAGAUUGGACUUGUUUUUUGGAUCUACACUAGUUACUGCUGAUUUAGCUCCUGCUAUUUGACAAGGACUCUUCCAGGGACUUUCCAUGAACAUUUACAUCACAUCACAUUACAUUAUAUACAUUGCAUGUGGAGGAAGAUAUUUGGGGAAGAAAGGAUAGAAGUGACUUCUGCCCUGCAUUCACAAGGUGAUCCUGGAGAAGAUGCACAAUCUCUCUUUGCAUCAAUCUUCCUUUCUACGAAAUGAAUGGAUAGGGCCUCGUAGGCUGGGGGUGUACACUGGGGGGGUCGUGACCGUGCUUAUCAUAUCGCAGUAUUUAUGACUAAAUUCUAAUUUUCCAUUACCAAGUAUCAGUGCAACAGGGAGUGGCCUGUAUUCUACCUGCGCCUGCAUGCACACACGUGCACACACACACAAUUCACAGGAUCUUCUAUUAUGAAGGGAACAACACUAAAUGAAAUAAAUUGGAAACAGACAUAAGCCCUUGGCCAAGUUCUUAAAUGUGUUCUUGUUGCCCUUGGUUAGCCAUUGAACUGUACCGUCCAUGACUGAUUUUUAAGGAUUAUUUCUAUGUCUUCACAAAAGCCAUUUGUGUCCAUGGCAAGUUAUUUAGGAAAUAAGAUAUAAGUAAAAAGAAGGCACCUUUAAAAAAUCACCUGCAAGUCCUCCGCCCAGAAACGCCACUGUUAACACUUUGGUAUCUGUCCCGCUCGUGUUUUGUUGAGGCGUAUGGAUUUAGGAGGCAAGCGAAUGUGCUGAGAUACCAGUUUGAGUUUUAUUUGGGUGCUGUUGUCAAAACACCCCAGCCUUUCCUGGUCUGAGGUGAGUCUGUUUUCCUAAACCUCAGUUGCACAGAGAAGAGCCCAGAGCAAAGAGUGGAGAAAAGCGGCAGAGAGAGAGGGGCUUAGACCAGACAGAGGAAGGCAUACAGUGGGGAGUGUGGCUCCCUCCUCAAGACAAACAGGAGCUCCUUGGAUGGUGUGGGGAUCCUGAGAGCCACACAGGGGACAGACACAUGCCCACUCCUCCGACUAUCACUGUAGCUGGGGAAGAAGGUCAGGCAAGAGCAGGCAUCUGCCCUGAAACCGUGUACCUGGAGUUGUGGGGGGAGAAGCAGGUCCCCAGGGGAGGGCUGGCUUCCCACAGACACAGCCCCAUCCUUGGGGUCUAGGCAGCCAGUCCCAUUUGUAGUCAAUACAAGUUUCAUUCCUUCUUGUUUGAGGGAUUCAGUUAAAAGAAAAAGGGGCAAGGAGAAUGCUGCUUUUUCAGAAGAAAACCAAUUAAAGGCAAAGCAUGGAGAGAGGACAAGAAAACAUUAAAGAAAUAUGGCUAAGAAAGCAGGUCCCAUCUGGGCUUCAGAGCCCUGUCCCUGCUCAUCCCAUCCAUAUGAGCCCAAGGGGACAAGGCCGUAGGAAUGGGGUCGGUCACACAGACUUGCAUUCAAACUGGCCUUUUCUUGCACCUGCUUUGAGUCUUACUACUGAAAAGCCUCACGAUGUAGUGGGACCACAGAGGUCUAACUUCAAAUUCAGCCAUGCAACUGAGGAAGGAUUGCUAGACCUUGACUCUUUCUUCAUAUAUAAAAUGGGCCUAAUGGUGUCUAGACCACACAUCGCUCCAAGAACGAAGUGGAGUACUGUAGUGGGUUAAAUAGUGUUCCCCAAAUAUUUAUGUCCACCUGCAGCCUCAGAAUAUGACCUUAUUUGAAGUAGGGAAUUUGCAGAUGUAAUUAAUUAAGAGGAAGUCAUCCUGGAUUAGGGUGGGCAAUAAUCCAAUGGCUGGUGUUCUUCUAAGAAGAGGAAAGGACAUUCAAAGGUACACAUAGGGAAGGUCAUGUGAAGAUGGAGACAGAGAUUGGAGUGAUCAGCUACAAGCCCAGAAGAAUGCCAAGGCUUACCAGAAUCUACCAGAAGCUGGGAAGAGGCAAGGGAGCCUUCAUCCCUAAAGCCUUCAGAAGGAAUGUGGCCUGAUUUCACUUGUCUCUCGCCUCCAGAAAUGUGAGAGAAGUGUGAGCAUAGUGUCUGCUGUUUGAAGUCCCCCAGUCUGUGAUAACUUCUGACUACAGCGCUGGGAAACUCACAAAGGUAUCUGUGUAAGUUUCCAGGCACAGGGCGAGAACAUGCUGGUGUUCUUUCCAUCCCCUUCUCCUACCACUAAGCUUGUACCACCUUCCCCAGGGACACAGUUCAAGGGGUACCUGAGGGCAGAGAAGUCAUGCUUAAAAGCAAAACCAAAACUUCCCAGUAGGCUGGGCUUCAGUCAGUUCCUCAGAGCCAGUUUUGGUUUUAAUUACCCUCGUGUUACAAGGAAGCCUGAGCUGGAUGGAGAUGAUAACUUUUCUUCCCUUGCUUCAAGUACCUUAGUGACAGCUUUUUGUGACCCACCCUCGUAUGUCCCUCCGCCAGCCAGAAAGAGUCCUGGCUCAGAGCUACUGCUUGUUGUAGUGUUCAAGACAGUGACCUAUGUUUAUUUUGUUUUGUUUUGUUUUGGCUGUUUGCUGGCUUCUGUGAGGGGCUCUGACACAAGAGCAGCUGUUUGUUUUUGUAUUUUCCUUUACGUCUUUCCCUGAGGAGUGGUGCUAAGUUCUGCUGUGAGUAUCUAGUAGGUUGAGAUUUUCUCCUACCUUGAGUUGGUGUUGCAGACGAUGAUGAGGCCGCCACGGUUGGAUCGGGUACAGACCAUGUUCCUCCUUCUGCUAAUUUUGAGCCUGGGAAUGCAGCUUCAUCAGACAGCAGCUUUAUUCACAGUGACGGUCCCUAAGGAACUGUACACAGUAGACUCUGGCAGCAAUGUGACCCUGGAGUGUCACUUUGACACAGGAGGUCAUGUGGAACUCAGAGACUUAAAGGCCAGUUUGCACAAGAUGGAAAACAAUACAUUCUUGCACAGCGAAAGAGCCAGCUUGCUGGAGGAGCAGCUGCCCCUGGGGAAGGCCUUGUUCCACAUCCCUCGAGUCCAAGUGACGGAUGCAGGCCAGUACUGCUGCCUGAUCAUCUACGGGGUCGCCUGGGACUACAAGUACCUGACGCUGAAAGUCAAAGCUUCCUACAGGAAAAUAAACACUCAUUUAUUUAGGAUCCCAGGGGUAGACGAGGUAGAGCUCACCUGCCAGGCUGAGGGUUAUCCCCUGGCGGAAGUGUCCUGGCCAAACAUCAGUGUUCCUGCCAACACCAGCCACACCAAGACCCCUGAAGGCCUCUACCAGAUCACUAGUGUUCUGCGCCUAAAGCCAUACCCUGGCAGGAACGUCAGCUGUGUGUUCUGGAAUGCUGACAUGGAAGAACUCUCUUCAACCGUCAUUGACCCUCAUGUUGGCAAAGAAGUUGACAUCUCUUCAAACUGGCUGCUUCAUGUUUUCAUCCCUUCCUUCAUCAUUGCUCUGAUGUUCGUAGCUACAAUGAUAGGCCUAAGAAAACAGCUCUUCCAAAAGCUUUCUUUUAGAAAAGACACAACAAAAAAAUCUGUCACCACCGUAAGGAGGGAAGUGGACAGAGCUAUUUGAACCUGUGGUCUCAGGAGCUGGGGUGACCUGAUGGGACAUCCUCAAGAAGCUUCUGGACUCUGAACAAGAGAGAGUAGCACCUGGCCACAUGUGCUCAGGGGAAGGCAGGCAGGCCACCCCUCACAGGCCCAGUUGCUCACCUCUGCAGUCUGACUCUAAGCAAGCACUAUAGCACUUUAGAAAAUGACCGCUCAGAUCCUAGACCCCGAUGCGUGUUCUGAGGCUCCUUCUUGUUGCCAGCCUGAAAACAAAGGGAAUCCCCCCACACACACUUAUCCAAACUGAUUUCCAGAAGCAGAGAUGAGUGGAAAUUUUCAGCCGCCAAGGUCGGGGCACUGGCUGACCUAUGAACUAUCCAAAUGGUGCAUCGUCGAGCACAGCAGAGUCCUCCUAGGUUAGUGGGUUGUCGUUUUCAGUUUGGAACCAUGAGGACUGGAGCACAUGUUCUAUCUUCCCCUUAGACUGUGAGCUCCCAGAACGCAAGAAGGGAGCAGGAUUUUGUCAAUGCUGCGAUGUCUUGGGUGGAAUAGAUGCCUCAUGCACGAUUGGCUCUAAGACGCAUCCCAAUAUGGAAGAGGAUGGCUACGAAUAACACUCUUACUUAGUAUGACCUUAAUAUGAUUGGCUAAAAGGAAUGUAAUGAUAAUCCUUAAAAACAAAAGAGCUGGAUGAGUUCUGUGUCUUUAAAAAAAAAAAAGGAGCUUUUACAAAGGAUGCAAAAAUAGCAUUUGGGAGUGUUUGAGGAAUUGAGAAAGGCCGAACAAACGAAAAUCACCUAUGAUCUCAUCAUCUCAACACAAGUAUUUUCAUUUUUGCUGUUGGCGUUUGGUCCUUGUCCAGACAUGUACACGAUUUCAGCCAUAGUUGUGAUUUUCUGUUCUUUUUUUUUUUUUUCCAAAUUUAUCAUUGUACCAUGGGCUCCCACCUAUGUGGCUGACUAGUUCUCCUAAUUAUCAUUUUUAAUGGAUGCACAAGUCACAGAUCAUAGUGAGCAAGGAUUGGGCCCAAACUCUCUUCAUCCCCUGACCACCAUAAGCCCAUAUUUUGACUAGUGGACUACAGUGACAUUUAGGGUCCCUAAGGACUAGUAUCAGUUCAGAGUUGUUUAGGAAUCCCUGAAAGGCCUGGGAAUUUCCAUUUCCCCCAGCGCAUAAACACCUUCAUAAAUGACCUCAAGUCCCUUUGGGGAUGGCUUCGAGGAAGAUCUACAGUAUUUGUGGCAUUGUUGCAGGGUCCUUUCUGAGAACUGGGGAAGAAGCUAUGACUCUCAGUUGUGAAAACUCAAGUCAGAUUUCUAUCAUGUAGAUCAAGUAAUGCUUUGAUAGACUGGCCAUCAACUUAAUUCUUAGGGCCAACCACCACUGAAGAUUUCCUACAAGUAAAGGAUUCUGAUUGCUCUUCUGGGAUCUUAUCAUCUCCAUUGAAAUCAGGAAGCCCAUCUCAGGGGCAGCAUUUCCCUCCAGCACCCUUGGCCUGCAGAAAACAGCCAUCUGGAGGUAUCCAAGGUGGCUGGGGCUCCCUCACUAAUGCAUUUCUCAAUGCUUUGGUGAAGGGAAUAUUCCUUGGGCCCUUUCAAGAUGAGGAAAGAUGCACAGGUUACAUAUGAUAAAUUACUCCAUUUUCCCUAACUCCUUAAGCCUUUAGGAUCCUUCCUGUACAUUAUUCCACAGAAAUUCUAUCAACUCAUUGUCACCGUUGAGCACAGGUUUCAGCCGAACAACUAAACAGACCACUCCCAGCUGCUCAAAGUCAUACAUUUGUUUCAGCUUGCUUUCACUGUGUAACACAGCUUAUGUCAUAUGUUUCUCAUGUAUGCUUUUAUGAUUGUGUAAUUAGCAAUUUAGGCUGGGUUCAGCGGGGGCAACUCAUUUCUGCUUUAUGGGGCAUCAGCUGGGCUCACUCACACAUUUGCAAUCAGUUGACACAUUGCUUGGAAGAUGCUGGCCUUAGGUGGCCCUGCUCACAUGUCUUGGAGUUGGUGCUGGCUGCGGGCUGAGCCACGUACCUUCAGCAGGUCUAUCCAUGCUUCUGCAGUAUGGAAGCCAGCCCAAAACAGCAAAAAGAGGGACAACCCCAAUGUGCAAGUAGUCUUCAGGUUUCUGUUUGCAUCACAUUUGUUAAUGUCUCAUUGGCCGAAGCAAGUCAGGUAGCUAGGCCAAAAUCAAUGUGGGAGGGACUUACGUGAGAGCCUGAUCUAUAAAAUAGUAUGAUUCCCUGGAGGCUACUGCUGUAACAGUCUACCAUAGCAUUAAGUCCAAAAACCCAUGGAGAGUGUAUUAUAUCAGGAUUACCUAAAUUUGGCCCCAGUCCAAGGUUGUAUUCUGUUUCUCUUGGUCUGAUACCCCUAGAGUCCAUCCCAAUGUUUAUUAGGUAGGUUUCUUCCAGUAUGAAUUUAACAAAAUCUUGUGAUUCUUUUGGAGUAAAGCCUUUUCCUCCAGAGCCAGACUCUGCCCUUCUCCCCCUGAAUAUGCUGGGAUCUGACUCUAAAUAAAAGCCCAAAGACCGUUAGAGCUUAGAGCAGUGGGUGUAGAAAGGACAGGGAUCCCCAUGCAAGGCAGCUGCCUCAUCUGUGCUUAUUACAGGUUUUCAAGCACAGGAGGGCUGGGAUCAUCAAAUAGGGCUUGAGAGGCUUCUUCCCAGGGAAGCUCAGGGAUAUUGAGGGGUUAGGGGAGGUCAAGAUUUUCAGCAUCAUCCAAGUCCGCCCAAACGUUCCUGUUCCUAGUCAUCAGAGUCCUAUUCCUUCCAAAUUUCUGCCUCAACUUCCACACGUGAGACUUGGCCAGUCUGUGACUGUUUGACUUGGGUCUGGUUUUUUAGAUACAUCUGUCCUGUGACUAAAAGGAAUAAGAGACACGGUCUGGACAGGCUUAGAAGCCAUCUGAUGCUCUGAAGAUGAUUUGAGCGGCGAGCUCUGGGCUCCUAGUUUCCUUCCUGCGAGCACCCUGGUGCAGUCCGAAGCAGCCACCUUACCCUGCAUUCCUCAUGACUGUCUUUGCCACCAGAAGGCGACUGUUAGUGCAUCUCCAAAUCCCGGCCUCCUGCUGGCACUCAGACCUAACAUGAAUAGACCGUAAUGUAAUGAAUCACAAUGCCAUUGCCUGCCGUAGAUUACUGGUUCCCAUUUUCCACUGGCAAAGAGUUAAGCUCUGAGUUCGAAGCAAAUAAACCCCAGCAUCCUGUUUUUCAGAGUCUGUUUCCUAGGACCACUGCUGAUCCAGUCCUGUACCAGCCAGGGUCCAGGCAGGAAAGUGGAGUGGAUUUAAUAUUAGGAAUUGGUUAUAAAGAUAUUAGAAGGCAGAAAGAGCAAAAAGUAGAUACCAAAGAAACCCAAAUAUUAGAGCUGCAGACAGCAGCUAGCUUUCUGCUGUGGGCUGCUGACAGAAAUGACAAAUGCAGGAACUGGAAACAGGAAGGAAUUAUCUGCUUCCCACAUUCCCAUCCCCAAGGGCCUCCCAUCUAUUGAACUUUACAGGAAGCCAGCUGGCAAGGGACACUGGUAAAUGCAGUUUGCUGAAUUCUAGCCCGAGCCUGGCGGAACAGAAUAGAGGAAGAUAAGCUUAGAACGGAGAAUGGGAGGUAAAUAACCAAUUCCUGCAUCAAAGCUUAUCUAGGUAAACGGAGAUAUAUUUCCUGAGAGGGGAAAAUACAGAGGCAGUGGAUUCCAGUUACAUUGUGGCACAAGGAAUAUGGCAUUUGCCCAUAUAACGAGGGCCUAAUAUACAUUUAUUGAUUAAUUGGAGAAGAAGAUAGCAAUAGAGAACUGCUUUGGCCAGGAGCAUAGGACAAAAUAAAUUUAUUUUUAAAUGCAUUUUGUAGAGGAAGUUGUAUCAGUUGCAUCAUUUGGUUGCAACUGAAAGAAAACCUGGAGCAAAUGGGCUUAUAUUAAAAAAAAACAGAAUGCAUUUGCUUAUGUAACAGAACAGCCAAAGGUGUGGGUGGGCACAAGGGUCUAACGAUGACAUCAUGAUCCAGGUUCUCUCUACCACCUCUUCCUUCUGCUUCCUUUUUGUGAUCUAUUGUCAAGCAUGACUUUGUAUUUUCAACAGUAGGCUCCUCUUAGGGGAAGUAAACUUCAAAUAGCAUGUUUGCGGCUCUGUUCUGUUUGUCCUAUAAAAAUAGAAUUCCAUGUUAGAACAGAUGCAAGAAGUAUAGAGGAAGCAACUAAUGCCCAGAAUUUGGAGUUGUACAGAUCAAAUAGAAAUAUAACCAGGUUAGAAAAAAAAAAAAAAAAAGAGAGA